rnacentral:rRNA from 1 species
AGCUUGCUGGGUGGAUCAGUGGCGAACGGGUGAGUAACACGUGAGCAACCUGCCCCAGACUCUGGGAUAACUACCGGAAACGGUGGCUAAUACCGGAUAGGACUUCGUGCCGCAUGGUGCGGGGUGGAAAGUUUUUUCGGUCUGGGAUGGGCUCGCGGCCUAUCAGCUUGUUGGUGGGGUGAUGGCCUACCAAGGCGACGACGGGUAGCCGGCCUGAGAGGGCGACCGGCCACACUGGGACUGAGACACGGCCCAGACUCCUACGGGAGGCAGCAGUGGGGAAUAUUGCGCAAUGGGCGAAAGCCUGACGCAGCGACGCCGCGUGGGGGAUGAAGGCCUUCGGGUUGUAAACCUCUUUCAGCUCCGAAGAAGCGCGAGUGACGGUAGGAGCAGAAGAAGCACCGGCUAACUACGUGCCAGCAGCCGCGGUAAUACGUAGGGUGCAAGCGUUGUCCGGAAUUAUUGGGCGUAAAGAGCUCGUAGGCGGUCUGUCGCGUCUGCUGUGAAAACUCGAGGCUUAACCUCGGGCUUGCAGUGGGUACGGGCAGACUAGAGUGCGGUAGGGGAGACUGGAAUUCCUGGUGUAGCGGUGAAAUGCGCAGAUAUCAGGAGGAACACCGGUGGCGAAGGCGGGUCUCUGGGCCGUAACUGACGCUGAGGAGCGAAAGCAUGGGUAGCGAACAGGAUUAGAUACCCUGGUAGUCCAUGCCGUAAACGUUGGGCGCUAGGU